CCUACGUGAGGCUGCAGUGAGGAAUAUUGGUCAAUGGGCGCGAGCCUGAACCAGCCAAGUCGCGUGAGGGAUGAAGGUUCUAUGGAUCGUAAACCUCUUUUAUAAGGGAAUAAAGUGUGGGACGUGUACGAUUUUGUAUGUACCUUAUGAAUAAGGAUCGGCUAACUCCGUGCCAGCAGCCGCGGUAAUACGGAGGAUCCGAGCGUUAUCCGGAUGUGUUGGGUUUAAAGGGUGCGUAGGCGGCCUUUUAAGUCAGCGGGGAAAGUCUGUGGCUCAACCAUAGAAUUGCCGUUGAAACUUGGGGGCUUGAGUAUGUUUGAGGCAGGCGGAAUGCGUGGUGUAGCGGUGAAAUGCUUAGAUAUCACGCAGAACCCCGAUUGCGAAGGCAGCCUGCCAAGCCAUGACUGACGCUGAUGCACGAAAGCGUGGGGAUCAAACAGGAUUAGAUACCCUGGUAGUC
rnacentral:rRNA from 1 species